rnacentral:rRNA from 1 species
GUAGGUGGCGAGCGUUGUUCGGAUUUAUUGGGGCGUAAAGGGUUCGUAGGGGGGGGUUUUUAAGUUUGAUGUGAAAUCCCGAGGCUUAACCUCGGAACUGCAUUGAAAACUGAAGGACUAGAGUAUCGGAGAGGAGAGCGGAAUUCCUGGAGUAGCGGUGGAAUGCGUAGAUAUCAGGAAGAACAUCGAUAGCGAAGGCAGCUCUCUGGACGAUAACUGACCCUGAGGGACGAAAGCGUGGGUAGCGAACAGGAUUAGAUACCCUGGUAGUCCACGCCGUAAACGUUGUGUACUUGGUUUGGGGGGAUUCAACCCCUUCCGGAUCGUAGCUAACGUGUUAAGUACACCGCCUGGGGACUACGGCCGCAAAGGCUA